ACUUUAUUACCCUUUGAUAUAAAUUUGAUAAAUACAAUUGACUUAAAUACCCAUGAAUCAAAUAAAUUUAAAUAGAUUUUUGGGUAAAACCCAUUUAAUAAACCCAAAUUUAAAUGGGUUAUUGAGUAAAACCCAUCUAAAUUUAAAUGCAUACACACGCACACAAUAGGAUUGUAGCGGCCAGAACAGAGGAGAUCGAAAGGCUUUUGGUUUUGAGCUUUUGGUAUUUAAAUGGGUUAUAUUACAUAUGAUGUAGGAGGCAGUUCUACUGAGAACACAAUCAGUCAAGAGGAAUACGAAAUUCAUGGUAAUAGCUUUGAGUUUAAAGGAAAGCAGUGUGCUAAACCAGUUGAAAAGUUUCCUGAAGAGCCUGCAAUUUCGAAUUCCAGUAGUGAUCUUGAAGUUUUUUGCAAUUUCUGUGCUAAAGUUUCAUCACUGUUUUCGGCAUUAUCUCCUUCACCGCUAACAACACCACCUCUAUCGCACCACUGCGGGGCCAACAUUUGAUGCAAUUUAAACACCGAAUUGACGACCUCGAGAUUUUUUUUGAAAAGAUUGGAAUGAAAACCCCAUAGUUUGACUUUGAUUUGGGAUGGAAUAAAGGAUCAAUUAAAGGUAAAAAAUACUGGGUUAGGGUUUCGAACAAUUUAUAUAUAUAUAUAUAUAUAUAUGUAUGUAUGUAUGUAUGUAUGUAUAGAUUUGUGUGUUUAUGAUUUGGUAACUGGUAUACUUCAACCGCUUUGGUUUAGUAUACACACGGAUUUAUGAAUUGUGUCUCUAUGAUAGCCUUCCAUCACCCAACCCUUCAUCAUCAAUCAUUAAAUCUUCAAAGAACAACAAGAACAAUCCCACUGAAAAACCCUUUAUAUAUAUAUAUAGAUGAAAAGGGUAAUUUGGUCAUUUAAGUAUUUUGAUAUUUUAUAUAAUUAAAAUUAAUAAAAUAGUGAAGGGUAAAAUGGACUUUUCACAUCUUUUAAGGUUCUGUUUGGAUGGAAAAGUUCACAAGGGGAUGUGGUUGUCCAAAAAUAGACAAACUUUCAUCUGUCUGUCCUUACCCCAAACCCCAAGGGGUGCCUUUGUACUUUACCCAAAAAUAAAUAAAUAAUACUCUCUUCGUCUCAUUUAAUUACUCUACAUCUUCAUUACGUCUUGUCAUCCACUUUGCUAGACUUGAAUCCUUCAUUUACUUUGAAAGGUAAAAGAGAUAUUACUGUGUCAUAAAGUCCUUAAUUAUAUCUCAUUGUGUUAAUUUAGUUUAUUAAUAGAAAAUAAAUGAAAUGAUAAUGUUUGUCCAAGGGAUAGAGAGAAAAAGAAAUUAUCUUACUUGGCCCAUUAACUUAAUAGUUAAGAUAAGGGGAAAAAAAAAAAAAAAAACAAAAAAAAAAAAAGAAAAAAGGUUAUAUUUGGUAUAACAAGUAGAAAUAAAAAAUAAAUAAAUAAUACUCUUUUCGUCUCAUAUUAAUUGUCGUUCGUUAUUUUGAUUUUGAGGUGUUCCAAACUACUCUUCCUCUUCAUUACAUCUGGUCAUUCACUUUGCUCAUUUUUAAACUCAAACCCUCGUCAUUUAUUUUGGAAGGUAAAAGAGAUACCAUUGGAUCAAAAGGCCUUUAAUUAUGUCUCAUUGUGUAUGAUUUAUUAAUAAAAAAUAAAUGAAAUGAUAAUGUUAGCCCAAUGUUUGGGGAAAGAGAGACAGAGAAAUUAUUUUAAUGAAUGAAAUUGUUUUGAGCAUCUUUCACAUUAAAGUAAUAAUUUGAAAGGAAAAAAAAAAAAAAAAAAAAGAUUAAAGAAAAUAAAAAUAUGCCCUCCAACUCAUAUAUAGUAUUUUGAUUUUAUCUUUUAUAAAAAGAAGAGCAAAAUUAGUAUUAAAAAGGUUUCCAUUAAACUUCCUUAGUAUUUCCUUCCAUUUUCUUACUUUCUCUCCAAUCAAGCUAAGCCUUAAUACUCUUAUUAUCGUACCCUAAAAAAAAAAAAUUUUUAAAUAAAGGAUUUUAUUAUCUUGGCCCAUAAAAUUAUGGGCUUGGCCUUGAACCUAAGUAUUAGUGUAGUUGGUUCUCUUGAGUGGGCUCAAAGGAUCUUAUUAAUCUCAGUUCUGUGACAGAAAUGGAAGAAGACACUCUCUCUUAAGUUGGCCCCACUUGAAUGCCAUGUUUGGUUCGGCUCUUUCUGUUCCUAACUUCCUGCCAUUGUUCUCUCUUUCACCAUAUAUAUAUAUAUAUAUAUAUAUAUAUAUAUAAAUAAAAUAAAAAGAGUAAAGUACACUAAGGUUUGGGGUAAGGAGGACAUACAAAUGAAAGUUUAACUAUUUUUUGACAAUGACACUUUAAUACUAAUAAAUUAAUAUUUUUAUCCUUUGACUUUUGUAUUGAGUAAUUUAAAAGUUAAAAUAACCUUUUUAUCCUUAUUUUGCAGACCGUCCUUCUCUUGUUCUCUCUUCCUCCUCACCGCCCCCUUAUUCCACCAAAGCCAUUUCUUUAUCCUUCAAUUUUUUUCUUUUUUUAUAUACACAUAUAUACAUAUAUGUAUAUACAGAUACAUACAUAUAUACACACACACGAGGAUAAUUAUAUAUAUACACACGGGCGGCGGCAACGACGAUGUUGCAGUAGAGGUGGCGACGGUGGUUGCAGUUCUGCCGUCCUCUAAGCUCACCACGCCGCCAUCACCACCGUCUGUAGCUACGGACAUACGGUUUUGAUCCUUGUUCUUCGUCGGUCACUCCUUCAUCGCCGUUCAGUCACGCCGCCGGCAUCCUUGCUCGCCGCCGGUGUUCAGUUCCUCACUGUUGUUCUCUCCUUAAGACGAAGCGGAACGUCUAUCAUCUCCUUCCCCCAGAUCGGGUGUCCAACACACGCCGAUGCACCACCACGCGCCGAACAACUUCACAGCAAAUCGUCCUCGUCGUUGAGACCUUGGUCUUCGGAAUCGCCGACGUUGUCUCAUCUCACCGCCGAUGAUCCCAACAACCUUCAUGUCGGCGAUCCCACUACACCGAAACCUGUUCGUUGACCAUCGUACACAGCUUCACCGCCGUCGGAAUCUCUGGCCGCCGUUGAAAUCACCAAUCUCUCCGAUUAUCUUGACGGUAAUGAAAUAAGCAACAUGUACAGUAGCGUUCACAGAGUUUACGGGAUAUAUAUAGAGAGAGAGAGAGAGAUAAAAAGUAUAAUUUGGGUUAUUUAAGUAUUUUAAUUUUUAAAAUUAAAAUUAAUAAAAUAGUGAAGGGCAAAGUGGACUUUUCUUAUGUUUUAAGGUUCUGUUUGGAUGAUAAAUUUUACACGGGAUGUGAUUGUCUAAAAAUAACUUAACUUUCACCUAUGUGUCUUUAUUCCAAAUCUCACAUAGUGUCAUUUUAUCCUAUAAAAAAUGAGUAAUGAUAGAGCAUUUGAUAAUGGAACACGUUCACUAAAUUUAUGUGAGUAAUAUUAUGAUGAUAUAAUUAUAUUUAACAACGUCGUGAUAACGUCAUCCCCAUGCAUAAAACCUACUUAUCAUUAUUCAAUAAAACUAGGGUUGCAUGGACUGCUAGACCACCACAUGAUUUGGUAUUUUGCAUGACAUAAAGCUUUUGUCCCCUUUUUUAAAGGAAGAAAAGGAUAUGUAAGCGGAAAUUCCUAAUUCAUUUUUAAAACGGUUAAUUGCUAGCUAGGAGGCACCGACACGGCUAUCAUGUCGGCGUAUCAGUGUCGGACACGUGUCCGACACGGACACGCGUGUCAAAGGCUCGGACACGUGUCCGACACUCCCAAAUCGCGUCCUGUAUUUUUUAAUUAAUCGGACACGGCCGGACACCGAUUGGACACACUGGAAGAGUCGCCGGACACGAUCGGACACGCCUGAAGACACGCCGGAGACUUUUCUUUCUUUUUAAAAUAGAGAGGAAUAAGAUGAAGAGGCAGCCAGAGAGAAAAAAAAAGAUAAAGAGAAACCAGCCAAACUACUGUGGAGAAGAUCAGAAUCUCAAAAAAAUGAAGAUCGGCCAGCACAGAGAGAGAGAGAAGCGCAGAUCGGCACAGAGAGAGAGAGAGAAAGAGAAGCGCAGAGAUAAAUGAUGAUGGUGACGUGGAAAAAGGAAAGGAGGAUAUCAGAUUAAAGAUAAGUACAAAUCUUAUCUUUACAUGUUUGGCCACAAGGACUAUGUUAUCCAUGGUUGGAUAUAAAGAGUUAUUGUAUUAUAUAUAUAUAUAUAUAUAGAAAGAAGGAUUUUGUUUUUGUUUA